rnacentral:rRNA from 1 species
UGCGUAGGCGGCCCCGUGUGUCAGAGGUGAAAUCCCACGGCUCAACCGUGGAACUGCCUUUGAAACUGCAGGGCUUGAGUCCGGAAGAGGAAGGUGGAAUUCCUGGUGUAACGGUGAAAUGUGCAGAUAUCAGGAAGAACACCCGUGGCGAAGGCGGCCUUCUGGUCCGGUACUGACGCUGAGGCACGAAAGCUAGGGUAUCAAACG